rnacentral:lncRNA from 10 species
CUUUACUGAACAUGUACGUGCCUAGGAAGUCUCAGGAAUGGGUAAGUGCUCCUGCUCCCACACAGUCUACAGACCUGGGUGCAAUGGUGAGAAAGACCUCAGUAAAGCAAAGGAAUUACGAAAGGGAGAGGAUAGAAGAUAAAGUACAUAAUAGUUUCCUGAAGCAGCAGAAUGAAAGAACUCUCUGUGGCAUGAAAAUUUACUGGAGGCAGCAGCUGAGGCUGUGGUGGGAGAAGAAUGACAAGAACUGAGCGUGGGCCACGGGCUCUUACCUUCAGCAACUUCAUCAGCUCUUCCAGCUGGACCAUCAGCUCCCGCCUGCUCUCCUGCAGGGCCGACAUCCUCUGCUCCAGUUCAUCCUUCCUUUGCCUAUCCAAGACGAGAAGCCUAUCAGAUAAAGAGACCCUCAAAGAUGGAUCUAAGGCCAGGUGAAAUGGAUUUCAGACCUGAUCCUGCUACUUACCAGUUAUGAGACGCUGAGCAAGUCAUUUAGCAUCCAAUACCUCAUAAAAUGGUGAUAAUGUCUGUUUUGCCUACUUCCUGGACUGUUCUGAGAAUAAUAGGUAAAAGUGCUUUGGAAAGUUUAGAUGACUAUAUAAAGGUAUUACUUAUAUUACCAGAGUGAAUUAAUGAUUAAAAAACUCUUUAGAAAAUCAAUGCCUUUUGAAAAAUAUAUAAAAUUAGCCCAAAUUUAGAUUAAUAGUAAAGAAACCAUAUUAAACUGCUCAGAGAAAACAGGGUCCAGUAGUAAGUACUUUCAGCACUAGACAGAUUCAAGAAGGAUGACAGAUCAGGACGGCUCCCUGUGUUCAAGAACAGUCACUUUUCCUUGAGGAUAGAUUUUAUGCCAUCUACUCCAGCUCAAUAUGUCCAAAACCAGACUUAAGACUUUAUUCCCUAAAUGGUUUUCUUGUCUCUGUCUCUUUUUUUUUCCUUGUCUCUGUCUCUUUUCCCUGUCUCUGCUAUUUUUCCUUCCAGGUGUCAUGGUUGAAAAACUCAGUCCUCUUUGUUACUUUCUUCUUUAUAUCCUGUAUUCAAUC